CGCGGGCCCAGCGAGUUAUCUUGAUUUCGGCCAAGCUUUCUGACUGCUCCAAAAAACGAAGAAAAAGAUUCAGGGAGAGUAAGAGGAUGAAGAGAGCUGGUGAAGCAGCUGACCAAAUGGCCCGAGGUGGUAUGCAGCCGCGGUAAAGCAGGGCCCCUCCGUGAGGCACAGCCGCCCGGGGGUUCCCUAGGGGAAGCAGGGGCUGCGGCAGACGCCUCUCGGGCAGGUCAGGGUAUGCACCCUCCCGCAGGGGCUCCCAAGGCCGGGCGUGCGUGAGGCCAGGUCCACGGGCACACCACUGUGAACACUGAUUAAACGUGGCCUCCACGGCUUCCAACCCCCAGGACAGGACCAACCCUCUGCCCCCGGCUCAGGCCAGAGCUCGGCGAGACCGUCGCUGUUUAACAAGCAUUUGCUAUACGCCACCUUGCAUUAUGACAGCAUGUGACCCACACAGCCAUCCUAGGAAGCAGCCUCAGAUGGUUCACUCCUGGAAACAUUUUUCCACUUGGCUUCAUGACACCACAGUCCUGGUCUUUCUCGUCCCAGGUAAGGAGAGUCCUGGUCUUUGUCAACCCAGGUGGCCACUAUUACUUUGUCGUCUUAAUAUUCAGUUCUGGAUCUCUUCUUAUUCUAUACCCUUCCUAGGCACUGUCCCCUCCCACAGCCUCCUUCUCACCUUUUCCAUAACCAUGUCUAGGCCCGGCAGCCCCACAUUUACCACUUGCACACCAGACCUUAUAAUUCCAGGCCUGAAUAUCCACCUGCCCAGGGACACUCCCACUUGGAUGUCCCGAGCACCUCCAUUUUGCCAUGUCUGAAACAGAAUUCAGCAUCAGUUCCUCACAACUGGUCUUCUACAGACUUCCCCAGUAAUCCCUCAACCCACCUGCCAAUAUUUAAGCUGUUUGUAAGCCACUCAUGCAAACAUUCAAUAACCCAACUACGUGUCAUAGAUUGGUCUGAACACCUAGCUGUUAACAUAAAGAUGAGCAUAAAAGACAAAACCCCUGCCCUAUUGAAGCUAGUUCAGUAAUCACACACAUUCCAACCGUGGUAUAUGAGGUGGAGAAGAGGUACAAAGGAAAACGAGAGGGUACCACAGGACUUGACUGAGUGUGGCAGGCCACGGAUGGCUCCCUGACACAGUAACCUUAAGUAACACAUCCUGAGGCUGAGCAGGAAUUCAUUAGGUGGAGACAGGGAGCGAACUCCUGCAGAGAGGAAAGAGGGGCAGAAAGCCUGGCACUCACUGGCACUGUCGAUUCCCCACAUGACCUUUCAAUCCCUUGCCUCUUGAGAGGAACCAUCUCUGCUUUGCUCAUCACUGUUUCCUUGAUGCUGAGUAAAACAUGACUCACAGGAAGGAUGCAAAAACUACAAAAAUGGAGGCCUCACUCCACUACUCCAUUCUGUGACAUAAGCCACGUCAACUCUUUCAACACUCUGGCACCACUUUCAACACUCUGGUACUAGAAUAACUCAGUGUUCUAAUAUGUAAAAUGUAAAUGCUUGCCUUGCAAACCUGCUGAGAAGCAAAUCCAUUAUUUAAUGAAUAAAAAGCACUUGAUAAAAGCACUAUUCCCAAAAUUAAGAAUUAAAUUAUGAGAGAUCUUCAACAGACCAAAAACAAAUGUUCACAGUCCCUGCUUUAUUUCCAUUUGUUCACACACGCUUUAAAAAAAAAAAAAAAAACACAUGCACUCACAC
rnacentral:lncRNA from 1 species